UACGGAGGGUGCAAGCGUUAUCCGGAUUUACUGGGUUUAAAGGGGGCGCAGGCGGGCCUGUAAGUCAGUGGUGAAAUACUUGGGCUCAACCCGGGAACUGCCAUUGAUACUAUAGGCCUUGAAUGGCGUUGAGGUUUGCGGAAUGGGUCAUGUAGCGGUGAAAUGCAUAGAUAUGACCCGGAACACCUAUUGCGAAGGCAGCAGGCUAAACGCAAAUUGACGCUGAGGCCCGAAAGCGUGGGGAUCAAACAGG
rnacentral:rRNA from 1 species